UGUAAUGUAUUAAUCAUUAUCUAAAAUACAUGAAAAACAUUUCAUACAGUGUGUUAACCUUAGUUGAUAAAUUUGUUCAGUUUAAGAAAAUAUACUAGAUUUUGCAAACUAUAUCCAUCAUAGAUGAAUUCCAGGUGUUGUACAAUUAUGUCAUUUUAUCAAUAAAUGAUGCAAUACAUGUAUAUUAUAUUUGAAGAAAGCAUUGUUAUUUUAACUUGCAUAUUCUAUAUUUUAACAUUAUUCAUAUAGGUUUAUUUUUGGAAUUGAACCAUCUCAUGACAUGAGAGGAAAUAUCCUGUAUAUAUUUAUCUAUUGUUCUUUUACCUGUAUUCCAGCAUUUAUGGCAGGUUGCUAUGAUUUUUAUGUAUACCCUGUGUGUCCAUAUGACUAGGUCCCCAUGUCCUCGGGGCUGGCAUUAUUUUAUGUGUAUGUUACUAUGUAAUGGUCACCUGUUGGUUGUAUAUAGAGAGUAUAUUACCCGUGUUAUUUGUUGUUUAAGGAAAUCUGAGUUUCUGGCUGUGAUUUUUUUUGUUCAUCCAUCAAAUUGUUAAAUAAAAUCGACCUUCAAAAUG
rnacentral:misc_RNA from 1 species